AUAUGUACACUUCUAUAUUCAAUGAUUAAUUAGGGUCUAUUUGGCAUUAUUAAUUGAGUUGCUAUUGAUAAAAGCACUACUUUAAAUAUGUUGGUUAGAGGUUAUUAAACAUUGUUUUUAUAUUAAAUUUAACAUGUUUUAGUUAUAAUAACGUUAAAUCAGCAAAACUAUUUCAAAGCUACUUUUUCCAACAACAUCUAUGGUGUUUUUCCAAAAAACCAGUGUUAACCUCAAUGCCAAACGGUCUCUAAAUGACAUUGUGAUGUGAUGUGCAUUUAUUUUUGCCAUAUAAGUAAAUAUGUAUUUAAGAAAUGCAAUAAUUGAAUGUCAAUGAAGGCCAAGUUAGUUGGUUUGGUGAUUAUGUUGGUUAUAAGUGAUAUCACAAAUUAAUGUAAGGUUUAUUGAGAAAUGCCCUUUCGGAGAUAUUUGGAUGAUUUGAUUUGCUUGCUUGCAGUCAUACUGAAUUUAUAAAUUUGCUUCUUGCUUUCAGAUACGAUUGCUUCAUGCUUCUCUUGCAACUUUGUGAUGCUAUUUUCUUUAUAUGAUUUUUUUACAGGUACGGCAAUGCUAAUGUUUGGAA
rnacentral:misc_RNA from 1 species